rnacentral:rRNA from 1 species
CCUACGGGUGGCAGCAGUGAGGAAUAUUGCUCAAUGGACGGAAGUCUGAUCCAGCCAUGCCGCGUGCAGGAAGACGGCCCUAUGAUUUGUAAACUGCUUUUGCACAAGGGAAACCCUUAAUACUUGUAUCCUUCUUCAAGUACUUUACGAGUAAGCAUCGGCUAACGCGGUCCCAGCAGCCGCGGUACUACGGAGGAUCCAAGCGUUAUCCGGAUUUAUUGGGCUUAAGGGGUACGUAGGCGGAUUGUUAAGUUAGAGGUGAAAUUGCCGCGCUUAACUCGGGAACUGCCUCUAAUACUGGUAAGCUAGAGAGUAGAUGAGGUAGGGGGAAUGUAAGGGGUAGCGGUGAAAUGCUUAGAGAUCAUACAGAACACCGAUUGCGAAGGCAGCUUACCGAUCUAUAUCUGACGUUGAGGUACGAAAGCGUGGGGAGCAAACAGGAUUAGAUACCCCAGUAGUC